UUCAUUCUACAAAAAGGAACAGUAGAAAGAUGUUGACAAGGGAUUGAAGCUGUGAAAUCCAGUCAAAUUCAGGUGGCCAAAGUAUACAAGCAUCUUCAGUGAGAACCUCAACAUGUGGCUGAUUUUUCUUCCCAACACAGACAUCUGAGGACAAAGCACUGGGCAAUGGAGACCACACAGGUCUGCAAGCUGCUUUCCAUGUGAAGAACGAUUCCUUGAAAGCUCAUGGUGUCAUCAACAAGCAGUGAUCAAAGGUUGGCUUGAAAAAUUCACACAUGGAAUGGAAAAAAAAAACAUACAAUGGAAAUCUAUCAUUAAAGAUGUUUUGAAGAGAGAGGGGGAAAGAUAGGGGCUUUGUUUUGCAUUUAGG
rnacentral:lncRNA from 1 species